GACGAAGGGGGCUAGCGUUGUUCGGAAUUACUGGGCGUAAAGCGCGUGUAGGCGGUUGCCAAAGUCGGGUGUGAAAGCCUUGAGCUCAACUCAAGAAUUGCACUCGAUACUUGGUGACUAGAGGACCGGAGAGGAUAGUGGAAUUCCCAAGUGUAGUGGUGAAAUACGUAGAGAUUGGGAAGAACACCAGUGGCGAAGGCGGCUAUCUGGACG
rnacentral:rRNA from 1 species